rnacentral:rRNA from 1 species
UACUAUGGCUAUGCCACCCCUGAGCGUGCCCAAUCUUGUCUGAUCUUGGAAGCUAAGCAUAGUCGGGCCUGGUUAGUGGGAGACCACCUAGGAAGACCAGGUGCUGUAGGCA